rnacentral:pre_miRNA from 14 species
UAUUACUGAAAGACUCCCGGAGUGGGGAGACCCUCACUCAAGUCUCGGGAUGAUGUGACCCCCCAAGAACUCACGUGAGACU